UUUGAUCAUGGCUCAGGACGAACGCUGGCGGCGUGCUUAACACAUGCAAGUCGAACGAUGAAGCCUAGCUUGCUAGGUGGAUUAGUGGCGAACGGGUGAGUAAUACGUGAGUGACCUACCUUUGACUCUGGGAUAAGCCUGGGAAACUGGGUCUAAUACCGGAUACGACCAAUCUCCGCAUGGGGUGUUUGGUGGAAAGCGUUAUGGAGUGGUUUUAGAUGGGCUCACGGCCUAUCAGCUUGUUGGUGAGGUAAUGGCUUACCAAGGCGACGACGGGUAGCCGGCCUGAGAGGGUGACCGGCCACACUGGGACUGAGACACGGCCCAGACUCCUACGGGAGGCAGCAGUGGGGAAUAUUGCACAAUGGGCGCAAGCCUGAUGCAGCGACGCCGCGUGAGGGAUGACGGCCUUCGGGUUGUAAACCUCUGUUAGCAUCGAAGAAGCGAAAGUGACGGUAGGUGCAGAGAAAGCGCCGGCUAACUACGUGCCAGCAGCCGCGGUAAUACGUAGGGCGCGAGCGUUGUCCGGAAUUAUUGGGCGUAAAGAGCUUGUAGGCGGUUGGUCGCGUCUGCUGUGAAAGGCUGGGGCUUAACCCUGGUUUUGCAGUGGGUACGGGCUAACUAGAGUGCAGUAGGGGAGACUGGAAUUCCUGGUGUAGCGGUGGAAUGCGCAGAUAUCAGGAGGAACACCGAUGGCGAAGGCAGGUCUCUGGGCUGUAACUGACGCUGAGAAGCGAAAGCAUGGGGAGCGAACAGGAUUAGAUACCCUGGUAGUCCAUGCCGUAAACGUUGGGCACUAGGUGUGGGGGACAUUCCACGUUUUCCGCGCCGUAGCUAACGCAUUAAGUGCCCCGCCUGGGGAGUACGGCUGCAAGGCUAAAACUCAAAGAAAUUGACGGGGGCCCGCACAAGCGGCGGAGCAUGCGGAUUAAUUCGAUGCAACGCGAAGAACCUUACCAAGGCUUGACAUAUACUGGACUGCGUCAGAGAUGGCGUUUCCCUUCGGGGCUGGUAUACAGGUGGUGCAUGGUUGUCGUCAGCUCGUGUCGUGAGAUGUUGGGUUAAGUCCCGCAACGAGCGCAACCCUCGUUCUAUGUUGCCAGCACGUGAUGGUGGGGACUCAUAGGAGACUGCCGGGGUCAAACUCGGAGGAAGGUGGGGAUGACGUCAAAAUCAUCAUGCCCCUUAUGUCUUGGGCUUCACGCAUGCUACAAUGGCCGGUACAGAGGGUUGCGAUACUGUGAGGUGGAGCUAAUCCCUAAAAGCCGGUCUCAGUUUCGGAUUGGGGUUCUGCGAACUCGACCCCUUGAAGUCGGAGUCGCUAGUAAUCGCGGAUCAGCAAACGCUGCGGUGAAAUACGUUUCCCGGGCCUUGUACACACC
rnacentral:rRNA from 1 species